rnacentral:rRNA from 1 species
GAUCAUGGCUCAGAUUGAACGCUGGCGGCAGGCUUAACACAUGCAAGUCGAACGGUAACAGGAGAAAGCUUGCUUUCUUGCUGACGAGUGGCGGACGGGUGAGUAAUGCUUGGGAAUCUGGCUUAUGGAGGGGGAUAACGACGGGAAACUGUCGCUAAUACCGCGUAGAGUUGAGAGACGAAAGUGCGGGACCGCAAGGCCGCAUGCCAUGAGAUGAGCCCAAGUGGGAUUAGG